AGUGAUAUGAACCGUCUAAUUCAUCACAUUUUAAAGACUGUGCCUGUGAUAUACAUCUCGGUCGGGAGCCUAAAGUAGGGCUAAACAGAAGGCGUGUGGGAAGGCAAAGAAGCAGGCAACCUUUCCAGUACGUUCAGCUCUCAAAAAAUAAACUCCAGGAUGCAAACCUCACCACAACACAGAGGUUCCAAGCCCCCAUCAAACACGCCAGCUUCUCCGAACAGAGCUGAGACAGUUCCCUAACAAGCAGGAGUGUUUUCGGAACAUAAAAAUAUCUAUCAAUGCCUGUUGAACUAUGAUUUGAGAAUUAGCAACUUUAACCAUGAACAAAACGGCAAAGACUAGAGGGCAAAGUAAGGCACGCGGGUGGAAGCCUGUGUUCUGUUUCCUCGGCUUGGCUUGCUGAGUCCAGAAAUUGCUUGACCUUUCCAGGCCUGCACUUUGGAGUUUCAGAGUGAGAUCAUUAAUGAAGACGAAUUGAUAUAAAGACCCCAGGACGUGGGAUAGUGCUGCUCACCUUCAGGAUGGGCCUCCCCUUCUCUGCUAUUCGUCGCUGGAACACCGUCCCACACAAACCCAGAAUCCCACAGCAGAUUGGUGGAGCUGCAGAGAACUCAGCCGGGCGACCUGAUACAAAGCUUUCCUAUGUCCAUCAAUUGAAGGUGGAAAAUGCUUUUGCUUCUUGUUUACCUCCUCUUCAUAGAAACCAGAUCUUGCUGGUCCUCACUUGGAGGUAACCUCGGGUUCUGAAGAGCUUUGAGAAUCACUGUCCAUGAGCAGGCAGCCACUUCCUUACAGCAAGAAAGAUUCUAAGAGUCAUAAAUCAGCAUCCUGUAAAGGAUCAUUGAUGAGAUCGCCCUGUUCUCAGCAGCAUCUCGCAGCAGCAGCAGCAGCAGCAGCAGCAGCAGCAGCAGCAGCAGCAGCAGCAGCACCCAGGACUGGACACUGCCCGCCUCAGUGAUUGACAAGCUUCUGUGAUUAUUUCUGCUUGACUGUUGCGGAAUCGAUGCUGCUUAGAGAAGCAGCAAUGCCUUUAAAAGCCGUUAUGUCGUAGGAAACAAUAGCUACAUAAUAAAAUAGUCAAUGU
rnacentral:sRNA from 1 species